AAGGUUCAGUGGCGCGAGGAGACUUGUGUUCGUGCGAUAGAGUGGGACCGGUGUGUGUUUGGAUUUGGAUUUAGCGUGUGAUCGGCGGCGGUGGUAAGGAGAGGCAGCUAAGCCAGUACGGCGACGUGCAGGGUGGUAGCGGGCGCCCCCGGAUGCGGUGGGCUUCGAGGGCAUGUAGAACGUCACGUCGAGGUGGUGGUCGUCGGACUCCACUUCGGGGCAGCAGUCGAGUAGGCCGCUGGCUGCGGUGCAGACGGCUAAGCCAGCGCGGCGACGCGGAGGUGGCGGUCGCCGCGGUGCGCCGGUGGGCUUCGAGAACGGGUCGGGCACCACGUAGGGCUGCACAGCGGGACCGCUACCUGCUGGUCGGGUAGCUAAACGCGACCACGAAGAGGCUGACGGUAAUCAGGGGGGUUUCCUAAGAAUAUGGGGCACGAAGGUAGGUGUUGGUUCCUCGUCGUGUUUGGGGACGUAGGGCUCCACGGUCGGUCGGCAGGGAGAAGGUGGAGGCCACUACCGAGGGGAUAAGGGGGAACAGGACGGGAGGAAACUUAGGUUGGCAACGUAGGAGCAGAAGUUAACUUAGAUAAAUGUCUCCCUUUUGAGGUGUUCUCCGAAGACUUCGAACCAGUUGUGGAUGUACUCCUAAUACUUUCCAACUACGUUCGGUCGAAGUCUUCCUCGAGUUCCGUAUGUCCUUCUGGCUCCUGCUCCCCUACUUGUAUGAAAACUUGUGAUGGAGGUAAAAACACGUCAAAGAGAGUUCCGUGAUUCUACACUAUUUAGUACUACCGUGUGAUAGUUGAAUAUAUUCAAGGAACUCCCAUUUUCGUUCAUUACUUGUUCGCUUUACCGAGUAGGUCUUCAACUAUAUUCUACAAAACUACCAGCCAAAACAAGUGUUGUACAAACUGUGUAAAACACCUAUACCUUCAACUACAGUCGAGCCACUAGCUUCUCUAAACCAGAGAAGCAAUUAUAAAACAUCAUCAGUUCACUAGCUUGUUAACCCAGAGAAUCCUCGGACCGGUAGUAUAAAACAUUAUCUGGUACAGAACAUACAGUUGAAUAAAUGAAUAACCAACAUCGACUGAACUCACAUCGUUUGAUGACUUAGAACAUAUAUACGCACUUACUUACAUAAUUAGUUACCAUACAAGACUACUUAGCUUCUCAUACAAAACAAACAUAUACAUAACGUGUGACC
rnacentral:rRNA from 1 species